rnacentral:rRNA from 1 species
AACGAACGCUGGCGGCAUGCCUAACACAUGCAAGUCGAACGAGACCUUCGGGUCUAGUGGCGCACGGGUGCGUAACGCGUGGGAACCUGCCCUUAGGUUCGGAAUAACUCCCCGAAAGGUGUGCUAAUACCGGAUAAUGUCUUCGGACCAAAGAUUUAUCGCCUUUGGAUGGGCCCGCGUUGGAUUAGCUAGUUGGUAGGGUAAAAGCCUACCAAGGCGACGAUCCAUAGCUGGUCUGAGAGGAUGAUCAGCCACACUGGGACCGAGACACGGCCCAGACUCCUACGGGAGGCAGCAGUGGGGAAUAUUGGACAAUGGGCGAAAGCCUGAUCCAGCAAUGCCGCGUGAGUGAUGAAGGCCUUAGGGUUGUAAAGCUCUUUUACCCGGGAUGAUAAUGACAGUACCGGGAGAAUAAGCUCCGGCUAACUCCGUG